rnacentral:rRNA from 2 species
CGUCGAACGAACUCUGGUAUUGAUUGGUGCUUGCAUCAUGAUUUACAUUUGAGUGAGUGGCGAACUGGUGAGUAACACGUGGGAAACCUGCCCAGAAGCGGGGGAUAACACCUGGAAACAGAUGCUAAUACCGCAUAACAACUUGGACCGCAUGGUCCGAGUUUGAAAGAUGGCUUCGGCUAUCACUUUUGGAUGGUCCCGCGGCGUAUUAGCUAGAUGGUGGGGUAACGGCUCACCAUGGCAAUGAUACGUAGCCGACCUGAGAGGGUAAUCGGCCACAUUGGGACUGAGACACGGCCCAAACUCCUACGGGAGGCAGCAGUAGGGAAUCUUCCACAAUGGACGAAAGUCUGAUGGAGCAACGCCGCGUGAGUGAAGAAGGGUUUCGGCUCGUAAAACUCUGUUGUUAAAGAAGAACAUAUCUGAGAGUAACUGUUCAGGUAUUGACGGUAUUUAACCAGAAAGCCACGGCUAACUACGUGCCAGCAGCCGCGGUAAUACGUAGGUGGCAAGCGUUGUCCGGAUUUAUUGGGCGUAAAGCGAGCGCAGGCGGUUUUUUAAGUCUGAUGUGAAAGCCUUCGGCUCAACCGAAGAAGUGCAUCGGAAACUGGGAAACUUGAGUGCAGAAGAGGACAGUGGAACUCCAUGUGUAGCGGUGAAAUGCGUAGAUAUAUGGAAGAACACCAGUGGCGAAGGCGGCUGUCUGGUCUGUAACUGACGCUGAGGCUCGAAAGUAUGGGUAGCAAAACAGGAUUAGAUACCCUG